AGGGAGACCUACCCGCAUUGAUGCUUGAACGCCAUUUGUUAUUAAAGCCAAUGUUGGUCAUCCCAAGGUCGUUCAAGGUUAAGUGUUGGCUUUCAAACUAGCUAGGUUUGGUUUAUGGGCUAUUAGCUCAGGUGGUUAGAGCGCACCCCUGAUAAGGGUGAGGUCCCUGGUUCGAGUCCAGGAUGGCCCACCUUUAGAAGAGGAAAAAAAGAAGUAAUUUUACUCUUUUGAACUCCGUUUUAACUUUUCCUGGGGGUUUAGCUCAGUUGGUAGAGCGCCUGCUUUGCAAGCAGGACGUCAGCGGUUCGAGUCCGCUUACCUCCACUGAAGGUGCAGUUUUGCAUCUUUUAUCACCAAUCCGCUCAUUUCAGCAACUCAGCUAGCCAGCAGAAGUGUUAGGAUGGAGAGCCUGCUGGGAUUGAUUCCGGCGAGAACCUUGAAAACUGCAUAGCAAUUAAAUUUUUCUGUCAGGUAGAAACGGCUGGCAGUUGAUUGUCAAUUAGCGUUAGAGCAGCAAUGCUUGAUAUCAAGAUUGGC
rnacentral:tRNA from 1 species